rnacentral:rRNA from 1 species
AAGUGGUGAGCUAACGCGGGGAACUGAAACAUCUUAGUACCCGUAGGAAGAGAAAAUAAUAAUGAUUCCCCAAGUAGUGGCGAGCGAACGGGGAAGAGCCCAAACCAUCAGUGUUCCGGCACUGAUGGGGUUGUAGGACUGCGAUAUCGCAAGACUUAUCGUGAGUGGAAGUGUUUGGAAAAUCACCCCAUAGACAGUGAAAGGCUAGUACACGAAGCGAUAUGAAGCGUAGCAGCAUCCUGAGUAGCGCGGGACACGAGAAAUCCUGUGUGAAUCCGGCGGGACCAUCCGCCAAGGCUAAAUACUCGCAAGAGACCGAUAGCGAACCAGUACCGUGAGGGAAAGGUGAAAAGCACCGCGAAUAGCGGAGUGAAAUAGUUCCUGAAACCGUACGCCUACAAGCGGUCGGAGCAUCUUUUAGAUGUGACGGCGUGCCUUUUGCAUAAUGAACCUACGAGUUGCCGUCGCCGGCGAGGUUAAGGGCCAUGAGACCCGGAACCGAAGCGAAAGCGAGUCCUAACGAGGCGCCGAGUCAGCGGCGGCAGACGCGAAACCAAGUGAUCUACCCUUGUCCAGGUUGAAGUCCGGGUAACACCGGAUGGAGGACCGCACCAAUAAGCGUUGAAAAGCUUCUGGAUGAGGUGAGGGUAGGAGUGAAAGGCCAAUCAAACUUGGAGAUAGCUCGUACUCCCCGAAAUGCAUUUAGGUGCAGCCUCGGGAGCUCCCUGCGUGAGGUAGAGCGACUGAUCGGAUGCGAGGGCUUCACCGCCUAUCAAGUCCGGACAAACUCCGAAUGCGCGCAGGUCGUAUCCCGGGAGUGAGGGCAUGGGUGCUAAGGUCCGUGCCCGAGAGGAGAAGAAUCCAGACCGUCAGCUAAGGCCCCGAAAUAUGGGUUAAGUUAAACUAACGAAGUUCGGUCCCAGUGACAGCUAGGAUGUUGGCUUGGAAGCAGCCAUUCAUUCAAAGAGUGCGUAACAGCUCACUAGUCGAGGGACUGUGCAUGGAUAAUAAUCGGGUAUGAAACCCAUUGCCGAAGCUGCGGGAUCUCAUUGAGAUCGGUAGGGGAGCAUUCCAACGGCGUCGAAGCUAUAAGGACAACUUAUGGUGGAGCUUUUGGAAAAGCAAAUGUAGGUAUAAGUAACGAUAAAGAGUGUGAGAUGCACUCUCGCCGUAAGACUAAGGUUUCCCGGGCAACGUUAAUCGGCCCGGGGUGAGUCGGGACCUAAGGAUAAGCCGAAAGGCGAGGCCGAUGGCAGAAAGGGUUAAUAUUCCCUUACUACCUUUAUGGGCGAUGCGGAGACGGAGAAGUGAAACUCUCGCGUGCUGACGGAAAUGCACGUUAAAGAGUGUAGGCGUUGAUCAGGAUAGGCAAAUCCGUUCUGAGAGCCGAACUUGAUAGUACACAAAGCCCUCGGGCAGCGUGAUAGUAGAGGUAAGCAAGCUCCCAAGAAAAUCCGCUAAGCAUAACCAUAGAGGUACCCGUACCGCAAACGGACACACGUAGUCGGGUAGAAUAUACCAAGGCGCUUGGAAGAUUCACGGUUAAGGAACUAGGCAAAUUGACCCCGUAACUUCGGAAUAAGGGGUCCUCACGCGAGUGAGGCGCAGAGAAUAGGUCCAGGCAACUGUUUAACAAAAACACAGGGCUGUGCGAAAUCGAAAGAUGAAGUAUACAGUCUGACACCUGCCCGGUGCCGGAAGGUUAAGAGGAGAUGUCACCGCAAGGGAAGCAUUGAAUUGAAGCCCCGGUAAACGGCGGCCGUAACUAUAACGGUCCUAAGGUAGCGAAAUUCCUUGUCGGGU